rnacentral:rRNA from 1 species
CACGUAGGAGGCGAGCGUUGUCCGGAAUCAUUGGGCGUAAAGAGCGCGCAGGCGGCUUGGCAAGUCGGGUGUGAAAUCCCGGGGCUCAACCCCGGGACUGCAUUCGAUACUGUCAGGCUAGAGGUAGGUAGGGGAGAUCGGAGUUCCUGGUGUAGCGGUGAAAUGCGCAGAUAUCAGGAGGAACACCGGUGGCGAAGGCGGAUCUCUGGGCCUUACCUGACGCUCAGGCGCGAAAGCUAGGGGAGCGAACAGG